CUUGGUGAAUCAAUCUUUCCAUUCCUGACAUUUUGCUAAUUUUAGUUUUACGGUGGGGUAAUAGCACAUGCCAUACGCAAACCUAAUGACAAUUCUUUAUUGCACGAAAUGAAGACAACACGGCGAGCUGCGGCUCCCUGCUCCUCUCCCGGCGCCUCUGCGGAGGACGCUAGGAGAGAACCUAGUCUCCCGCUGCGGCGCGCUCGCUCUCCGGGGACGCUGCAAGCCAGCCAGCAGGAAAGUCCUUCUAAAGUCGGAAUCUUUCCUCUGACCAAUAGGAGCGCGACCCUAAUAGUUGCUCUUGUGACUUUUCCCCCUUUUGGACACGCUUUAGCCACUUCUCUCUUCCACUGGUCGGUGCGCUCCUCCGUUACUCACGCGUAAAAGCCAUGGUCCAGGAUGUCUGCAGCACUCGAUUCCAGCGUGCUUUUCCUGCACGCCCAGAAGUCGCGGUUUUCACCCUAAGAGGUUGGAGCGCUAGAAAGCGAGCCGAAAGGUUUCUCUAAUGUUAGUAAUGUACGAAAUAAUAAAAUAAUUACCAGUAUUUGAGAUCUCGACUCCAUCACGGAGCCAUGAACUUUCUAAUCAGUUUGGAAAUAUUUACCGAGGCAGCAGCUUCCUCGGAGUUCCCCCCCUCCCCCCACUCUGUCUUUUCCACACCUUACUGGACUUCAUCCAGGUCAUUAACAUGUAAACCAAACCAACUUCCCAAAUGCAUUAGGCUACCCUAGCCGAUAGCUGAUGACUUCACUUAUCCUGAAGAGUUUCAGCUGCACAGGAAGCAGAAAUAGAGACUGAUAAGGGAGGAUACUUAUGUUAAGGUUAAAGCAUGAUAAACACUUUUUCUUACUAGUAUAUAUAUAUAUAUAUGUGUAUAUAUAUAUAUGGGCUUUAAUAUUUAGGAAAGGCUACUAGAGAUUGGGCACCUCCCGCCCUAACCAACUAUUAAUAUAUACCAUGCCCAAUAAAGCCAAAGAUAAAAUACAUCAACUAGUAUAGAAUCAUUAAAAGACAAGAUUGCAUGCCAGUAGAAUUACAGAUGACAUAAAAUGUUUAAACCAAAUUAAUUUUUAAAACAAUAUUGUGAAAGCAAGAAGGGAAAAUUCAUAGAACAUAGAAUGUAUGAGAGUAGACAAUAGGAGUAUAUUGAAAUAUCUAGCUAACUGAAGAUAUUUCCUCACUUUAGAAAACUCAUUUUAGCACUAAGUUUAACCCAAUGACUAGUUGUAUUUCCUGUUAAGUCCAGCAAUAUGCCUCCAGACGACUGUUUUAAUGUAAGAGGACAGUAUGGUUCAAAAAGCCUCCUGCUUCAAUGUAGGAGGUAUUUGAUGUGAGUAGCUUCUCUCAGAAGAGUGGGCUCAACAUUUAGGCAACAGUCCUAAGGCUUCACUUAAAAGGGGAAGAUUUAUUUUAUAGGCAAGUACAACAAUCUGAACAAUCUUCAAGCUUCCAGCUCCUCAUUGUGACUAUCAGCACAACUAAGACCAUUCCCUCCCUUUUAUUAUAGGAAUGCAUCACAAACUGUCACAAAGCAAAAACCAUCCGAAAUAGUAGUAUUUCUUGCAGAUUAGUAUCUACAAUGUAUUUUGUUUGCCGGUUUUUCAAAUGGUGAGUUUGCCAUUACCAUGAAUUCAUUUUAAUAAUAUGGCAGAGAGCAUCUAUGUCAGCUUUCCAUUCAAAGUACAACUUCUCUGAAAAUCCAAAAAUUUAAAGGGCAAAGAUAUUUUGAAUACUAAGAUACGUCUAUAUAUGGUGGUAAAAAUAAAAUUAAUUUUCUUUAAGAUUCACAAAGGUUCUGAAAAAGCAAAGCAUUUGAAGGACCAUCUAAGUUUAUUGCCAUAAUGCUUAAAAUUAAUGCAGUGAAUUACAACAGUCUAUUUGACAUGAGCAAACACAUAGCCAAAACAUGAAUUUCAGCCCUGCUGUUUUUGAUGAAUUAUAGAGAGUAUUUCUGUUUACCACAGUACACUUCAGUUUUAGAUUUUCUUUCAAAAAGAAAUUAUUUUAUUUUACCUUUUCAUAUUUUAAUUAUUUAAUAAUAAACAUUAUAACAAACCCAUAAUUAUCAAUGAUACUGCAAGCAUUCAAAAGUAAGUAUAACCCCACACUGGAUAAUUUGAAAAUAAUUUGGAUCUGGAAUGUAUCACAGUUGGCCUUUUAAAAUAUAGGAUUUUCCCCUCAGCAGAUUUAGCUUCUUAAUUAUGUGUGACCUAAGUUAAUAUUACCAUUAGUUUUCUUCCCAUGAGCCUUUAGAGUUGAAGCAGAAGAGAAGAGAUAUGAAGACAUAUACAAUAGAAAAUCGCCUGAGAUUUAAAAUUAUUCAUGAGUAAUCCACAAAGUAUUUAAUCCAAUGUGCUUUGUAUUCUUUAAAUACUUCUGGACUUUUGGUUUCUGUUUUUGUUUUUGUUUUUUCUUUAACUAAAAUCAACCUGAUCCUUGCCAUCUAAUGAUACUUGGUCAGGAUCAGACUAUUUUCUCAUGUAGGGAGGAGCUUGUACUAGGUGUCAGGAGACCUGGAUUCUCUAUCUAGUUCCAAAUUUGUGCCUUACUAAGGGAUUUGUCCUUUCUAGGCUUCAGUUCGCUUAUGUGUUAAAUGAGUUCUGUAACCUAUUCCAGUUCUAUGAUUGGAAAACAGAAAAUAUUUCUACCCUUUAAACCAAUUGGAAGGUAGGGUCUAUCCAGUUAAAUAAUAGGUGACAAUUCCUUUAACAGAAAAUUAUGUCUGGGAUUGAUGUACCAGCUUUUUUUUUUUUUUCUUCUUCUAAUCACCAAACAUUUCCUACAUUAAAUAGUAAAUGCUUUAUUGUGAAUAUAAAUAUAGUCACUUGUUUUUCCCUCAAAAUAAUUAUAUUUAGCAAUAUAUUUAAUUAAAGUGUCAUAGAAGUUACAGAGAGCAUGCCCCUCGGGAUUUUAACUGCAGGGAAAGCUAAUGUUGCAAUUUCUGUUCAGAGCUGCAUACCAUCUUACUCCAUCCUCCUCUCUUCACUACUUCCCUACAUUAAAGCAGCGGUCCACUAAAGCCCUGUGCACUGGGUCUGCCUGCUUUUAAGCCUGGCCCACGCUGGGUGUAGCUCUUGAAGUGAGCUUUAAAAAUUAUUUUAAAGUGAACUGGGGCGGUUGCCACAGCAACCCACCCUGAGAUGAAGAAAGGCUAUAGAUUAAUCUACCCCUUAAGAUUAUUCAACUGUAUAGUAUUUGUUCCUCAGCCAGAAUACUUUUAACACAAACAUGGUAAGUGAACAUCGUAGUUUAGAAAGAUCUAAAAAGCAGUGAGACACAAAUUCCAAUAGCAUUACAUAUUUUAAUCUUUGUCUAAUUAUAGCUUUGAUGAUACACAGGACUUCCCAUGAAAUAGAUUAAUUGUUUAAGAUACAGUACUUGCAAAAGUAGGCCCUGAAAGGUGACAUGAUCUUUAAGCAAAAUGGUAUGUCAUUGCUUAUAAUAUAAAGUGCAUUGUGGUCAUUUAACUCUUUAUUAUUGUUACACACGUCUAUUCUGUAAAUACCUAAGGCCAAGGAGUUUGGCAGUUCUACCUUUAUGGUAACUCUGUGGUAAAUGAUAAAAACAAAUGUGAGCACUCACCACAUACACUUCUUUACUGUCACAGUCAUUUGCCUUCCGUUCUUUACUUCAUCUCUUCAUAGAAGUUACUUCACAGUUUGCAACUCUUCUUUGGCACCUUCAAAUGUGGAAGUGCAAAAAAGUAUAUAGUAUUUUGUUAAUGCUGAUAUGAAAGUACUUUCAAAUAGAUUUAUUUCUAAAACUUCUAACCUGAAGUAACAAUACUUCGAUUUUAAACCAAAGUGUUUUGAAUAUAAGAUUAUUGAAAUUGUCAUUUAUUGUGAUAACAAUCUUCAAUAUAAAGAGUGCCAAAUAUCUAAAUUUCAAAAAUUCACUAGGUGCAGCAUUAACCCAAGCAGCAUAUACAGCAUGUGGACUGUCUGUGAUUGAGCAUUUGCAAUAUACAAAGGAUUUGUUAUUUCAAGACAGGGUUUACACAUAUCUAAGGAUUCUAUAUUUACCUGUAUUUCUGUACCUUCAGUUUUAUAUCUGAUAGAGAAUUACAGAAGAAUGUCAAAUCCAUUAUAUCCGAAGCUAACACAAUUUGUCAAAUUGGGAAAUGUUUGCAAUGCAGUUGAGGUUGCUGAGAGGGCUUAUUUUAUGCAUUGCCUAAAGGCCAAUUUAAAAUACUUUGGGAUUAGUGAUGUGUAUUCAAUAUGGUUUAUAAAUUCUAUUACCGAUAAUACCUUAUUCUUCCAAGCAGUGUUUAACUGUACUGAGCACAGACAAAUGCUCCUGUGUUCUGAUUUCUGUUUUAGCCUAGCUUUCCAUGACUUUGUGCACACAAAUGAACGUUUCCUUGGCUUCAGACUGAGGCUAGUCCCAGAAAGAAAACCAGCCUUGAGACACUUCAGACCAGGAUGGUCAAUAUCUAUUUUCCCAUUUGUAAUAGCAAGAGGACUUUGCAUAGUGAAGAAUCAUUUAUAAAGCCUCUAUAUUUGGGUUGACAUCUCUGAGGUUUAUUUUUAAGUUGCUUCAGAGUCAAAGAGAAAUGAAGAAUUUUGGCCAGUUUUAUUUUAUGGGUGUUAGUUGAGUUUAGUUUUUUAGGCUCAGGCCCACAGUGAGUGAGUCCAGACUUGGUCUUGUAGUCACUACCAAGUGAUUUGGUGAAUUCUCUUUCUUCCAGUUGCGCUUCAUUUUACAGUCUAAAGUGAGAAUCAUAAUACACAUCUCCCAGGGCCUAUUCACCGUACAGAAAUGCAAUCUUCAUGAAAUAACAUGAAGGUAUGGUAAGGAUUUUUAAAAACGACACUACAAAUUAUGAUACAUUUCUUCCUUUUCCUGUAAUCAGUAUGUCCAAAUAAGGCUUGAUCAGUAAUUUGCUUGCAAGUGUGUGGCUGAUUCAAAAAUACCCACAUGCAUGACUAAAUUUAAUGCGACUUUACCUUUACUUACAAAAUUGUUCAAUGUUGUUCAUCGGAACAUUGAUUCUAUCCCAUUUCUUGAAAUAUCACAGAAACCUUCAAUUCAAGGAAUGGAUUUUCACACUUCCCCUUUUAACUGUUUCUUCUAGAUACCUUACUAUGUGUGUGCUUUUUCAUUUAAAAAAAUGUUUACCCGGGGUCGGGGUAGAAGUGGGGGUUAAAAAUCUCGUCCUGCUUUUUGGUGCCCACUUCUUUGUUUGGAAAGCAGAGCGCUGGGACUCAAUCCGGGCGGCCCUCAAAGACCCAGACGAGGGACGCCUCUGGUUUCAGCAACUCACUCCGCUGAGUUAUUGAUUGCAGGCAGCAACAAUCCCUCCGGUUGAUUUGUGUGAAAAGUGAAUCCGCGCUGGCUGGGCGUUCAGCAGAGGCGCAACAGCCGCAACGCCAUCCAAUUAUUGCCGAUCCUCCCCUCCAACACUGCUCUCAUCACCUAUAUACUCUUUUCUCUGCCCGUCUCUGCUUCCCCCCACCCACUUUUCUCCCGGGCCGACGGAGCCGAAGGGGCGGGGGUUCCUUCCUUGGAGUGUUUCUAGAGCUCGGAGGCUGCUAGUAGGGGUAUCCUACGAGAAAAUGUUUCACUUCUUCAAGUGCCUGUAGACAUGGUAGAAGGCCUCAACUUCUCCAUGGCUGACGACUGAGAAGGCUGAUCUGACUUGGAAGAGACUGUGUGGCCAAAAGCCAAUUGGCUGUAUCACAUGGGCACCACUUUCAGAUAAAAACAUAGACCUGAAUGGCAUCAUCCAGUAUCCAAGGAAACCAUGUGAACAACAAAGAAGACUUGAAAACUCAGUGAUCAGAGACUGGAAAUGAUGGUGACGGAAAGUGGAAUAUCAGUGAUCCUGAACAUUCAAACCUCACUGAUCUCAGAAAAGACAUGACAAACUCCAAAAGGAAACCCAAGCAGCUAUUUGACUCACUUAUGAAGUCACCCGGUAUGGAUGAUUCAGGUAGGAUUUUUCUCACCUUUGGAAAAAAUAAAUCUCUUACCAGAGAUAUGAAAAAUUCAGCUGAAUUUAUUUAUGGCCUUGCUAAAGGUCUUUUCAUGCUCUACAAUGACAAUAUUUUUACAAAACCAACAGUAGAUGAUCUAUCUAGGGAUGCCAGCAAGUGCUCUCAAGAGAAAAUGUAUUCUGUUUCAUCCAGGUUCAGGCUAAAUUGCUGGGACAGCUGCUUUCUUUGACCUCCUCUCGACUUUGCUGACCACAUCACCAACUGGCAGGGUGUGGUGCCUUAAGACCUUCCAAGAUACUUGCUUCCAAAUGGAAAUAAUGGAGUAACAUUUUGUAUGAUCAAACAUGAGAGAAUUCCAGUAAUUUUCAGCAUUUUAAGCUGUGAAACACUUCGUUCGAACAGAGGCCACCUGUAAAAUACCCAGCACUACUUGGGUUGAAGUUGGAUGUGGUGAUAGUAGAUCAGAAAUCCUACUUGGCUGACUGGGCACAGUGACUCAUGCCUGUAAUCCUAGCACUUUGGGAGGCUGAGGUGGGUGGAUCACUUGACAUCAGGAGUUCGAGACCA